AUCCAACUGAUGAGUCUCAAAUAGGACGAAAUGCGCAUCCUGGAU
rnacentral:hammerhead_ribozyme from 1 species